GCUUACGGCCACACCGGCCUGAGUACGCCUGAUCUCGUCCGAUCUAGGAAGCUAAGCAGGGUCGGGCCUGGUUAGUACUUGGAUGGGAGACCGCCUGGGAAUACCAGGUGCUGUAAGCU
rnacentral:rRNA from 13 species